CUGCGAUUUCUUUAUGGAACUCUCUCGAUAUUGAUAUUAGAAAUUCGACUUCACUUGUAAAUUUUAAACACAAAGUAAAUAAGUUGUAUUGGCUGCUACGUUAUGAUAAAUGGCUUGAUUUUUCUCUUACGAGGAGGGCUUCAGUUCUGCAUACGCGUUUACGAUUAGGUUUCUGUGCACUAAAUGAUUACUUGUACAAAAUUAAUUGUUGUAAUUCUCUGUUAUGUAGUUGUGACCUGGAACGUGAACUGUUAAGCAUUAUUUCUUAUUAUGUCCCGUUUUGCUGCUCAAUGUAACACUUUGCUUACUUCUGCUGCACAAGUUUGUGGCCAAGCAUGGUUAGCGAGAAGUGACAAUGUGAAACUUGAUUAUAUGUUGAAAGGAUCCAAUCAAUUAAGUUAUGAUGAAAAUUGUUCACUGUUUGGUUUUUGUCCAACAAUUUGUUCUGGA